UUUUCUCCAUAUGAGGUUGGUUCCAUUGCAUGGGCAUAUUAAAUGGCUUAUCAACCAAACUUACGAGCAUGUGUUCUUAGAUUCCUGUAGCUAACCUCUCGUCAGAGGUGCAUAGAGUAAGUACUGAUGGUAUUCUAUUUGGGCCCCAACAUUUUCCAUAUAUGCUCUACCAAAUCAAAUUUUAGUGCCUUUAUAAGUCACGCGAUCCUGGAUUCGUGCAUCCUUUGUAGCACGUGUGCGAAUACCGGUAUAUUACCAUGAGGGAAUGAUCUUGUAUUCUUGCAUCCUUUGUAGCACGUGUGCGAAUACCGGUAUAUCACCAUGAGGGAAUGAUCCUGGAUUCUUGCAUCCUUUGUAGCACGUGGGUGAAUACCGGUAUAUCACCAUGAGCGAAUGAUCCUGGAUUCUUGCAUCCUUUGUAGCAAUGGGCGAAUACCGGUAUAUCACCAUGAGGGAACACUACUAAGGCUAGGACGAUGGAUGUGCCCGGAUUCAAAAUCAGAUUAUUAGCCGCUUCUUCUUUUCAUCCUCAACUGCCAUAUUGUGAAGUAUCAUCAGGGUCAUCCGGUGGAUAGGCUGCAACAUGUAACAAACAAGACAACAAUUCUACACAUCAGCAUAAUAUCGAACCGAAAAAUACUUUUUCUCUAAGUUGUUGAGCUUGAAAAGUCUCCUAGUAUCUAUUUAUGAGGUGAUAACUUUGCUGAGUGGAAGAUUCAUGCAGCUUAUUCUGUGGCUCAGUUUCAUGUACAAUGGGUUUAAUGCCAUGAGAAUAUAUCCAAUGUGCAAUAUUAUGCUAAAAAGUUGCCUUAGAAAUCACACUGGUACAUCUGUAAACUAUGCACAGUUAAAUCACACUGGUACACUGAUUUCACGGUUAGACUGUUGUGCAUGAUCGGCACCCCCUGCGUCAAGGAUGAGCGGUCCGUGCAGACCCUCAAGCCUACAAUUAAUGCUAACAGAAUGUGGCCAUGGGUAGUUAUUUGUUAUGGUUGGCUAUGGCUUGUUUAUGAGAGUGAUCAUCUUAUUAAUGCUGAGAAAUAUGAUUAUCUAUGUCUGCACAUUUUAAUCAUUACUUAUUCAUUUCCCUGACUGGGUUCAAUUUGUUGUCAACAGAAUUAUUCUGUGCUGAAUCUAGACGACGCUGCCACCGCACAUUAUACCUGGCGCAUGACAGUCUUCAGGUAUCGUCUCUGGUGUUUCAAUACCACAGACGAACGGUUCUACUUCGGCCACAAAGAGCGGCAGAGCUGCAAGCUGCCGAAGUCAGGGCAUUUUCUGGUGUACGUCCAUUACCAUGGGAACUGGAUGUGCCUGGUAAUUGACUGCCCAACAGGUUAUCUCACAGGAUAUAUAACAAGGAGCUUACCCAAAGACAAGAAAAUCCAGGAAAACAGAACAGAAAUUUCUGAAGGCUUGUCCAAGGCACGCAAGAAGGAGAUUAGAAGUCAAUUGCCUAUGUACAUUGAAGAUGCUAAAAUGCUACCUUGGAAAGGAUCUUAUCUCUAUGCUGCCGAAUGUCUUCUUGGCACCAUGGGUUUACAGAACUCUUUCAAGACUAUGUAUAAACAUCUUGAAGGCAUGCAAAUAUUUACGGUAGACGAAAUCCGAACAGCCGGAGAGCAUUUCAUUGUCCAUAUUCCUGAAGCCAGCAGAUCUGAUGUGCUCUUUAACAAGAUUGACACUAAUUUCAUAGUUGGUGUCAACAAGAUGGGUGCAUCACUUCUUGGUGAUGCCCAAAAUUGGGCCGGUCAUACAGAUGAUGCAUUUGACAUAAUGGUGGAUACAAGUGCCAGCAAAUGGGACCGGAAAGCUCUGAAAAAACAUGGGAAGUCAACAGAGGAUGAGUCAGAAGGUGUUGAAGAAAAAGUUUUUGGGCCAGAAGUUGAACAUCAAUUACUGAUUAUUGAGGAUCAAAGGUUGUACCACAGGAAAAAUCCAGGUAGUCGCAGAUUUUGUUUGAAAGAUUUACCCGUACAUCUUGGUCUAAAGGUUUUACACAUGUCCUGAUCAAACCUUUUUUGAAGUUCCAAAGAGCGGUCAAUGAAAAUACAACAUCAGAGACCAACAAAGGCAAUGAAAGCAUGGCUGAUGAAAACACAGAAUAUUUCUUUGAUAAUCCCAAUGCCAAUAGCCCGGAUCCCCAACGAUUCACAGAUGGCUGCAAUGUCUCAGGUGAUGUCCUGUUACCCAAGCAUGAAAAAGCUGAAGUAAACAAUGGUUCCCCACCACCUAUUAGCUUUGAGAUUGCUAUGGAGAAUUCUGUUACUCAGGUGAAUUUCAGGACCAACAUUAUAGACAAUGCUCAGCCAACUAGUUCCCAGGUCAUUAUAAGAGAGCUUGAUGAUGAUAAUGCUCUGACAGACUCUACUGUUACUCUGAAGCCAGUUUCAACGGAACUGAACUCUGCUGUUCCUACCCCUGAUCAAGAGCAGUCUGAACCUCUAGCUUUGGCACCCAAUCCUAUCUCAAAUGUUCUGGGCCAGGAUUCAGGUAGCAGCUCCAUCACUAUUUCUGGAAUUGGGCUGGGUCAAACUGCCUUGCUUGAUACAGCUGGAACUAAUGGGCCACAAGCUGUGCCAGAAAGCCCAGGCCCCCAUAACUACCUUGGAGGUCAGACACAACAACCACUCCAAUAAAUACAAUGGCUUCGAAGUUCCACAGAACUCUGACACCCGUGCCACACAGUCUAAAGUGAAGCCACCGCUAGUACCCUCUGCAGUACCCACGGCUAGUACCCUCUGAUAGCUUGGCCGCCUCGAUGGACCUUUGGCUCUACCCAGGUUGCAAUACCAGCUCCUGCUUCGAUCCCUGUGAUGCAGAACAUUAGUGUCUCAUGCUGUGCUGUUCCACCGGAAGAAUUAUCUGAAGAACCUCUCCUAGCUGAGUCCAGCAUGGACGUCCCCCCAGCAAGCAACGAUGAGGGCCCAUCCUCCUCCCACUUUUAAUUCUGCUUUAUCAUAAUGCCUCUUUUGCGUGGUUGGAAUGUCCUUUGCUGGAACGUUCGUGGCUUAAAUUCGGAUGAUAAACAACUUGCUUUAUCCAAUGCUAUCGCUAUUAGUGGGUGCGCGAUCGUUUGCCUGCAAGAGACAAAAAAAACUUAUCUUGCGUUUAUUAAAUCUUGCGGCCCUAAACGUUUUGAUAAGUUUGUGUUUGUUCCUUCUCGUGGUGCUUCGGGUGGAAUUCUUACUAUAUGGAAUACCUUGGUUUUCUCGGGAGAAGUACUAUACUCUGCUGAUUUUGCACAGGACAUCCGCUUUACAAACAACACAAUCUGCUCACACUUGGGACAGUACUGGACAUAUAUGGCCCCUGCACCGGUGACGACCGUAUAACCUACACCACUUGGCUAUAUGACCUUAACAUACACAAUGAUGAAUAUUGGCUCUUAGCCUCUUACUUGACGAUUUCAAUUAUAUCUGAGUCCCGGACAAUCGUAACAAACCUGAUGGCAAUGCAAAUGAAAUGUUCACCUUCAAUAACCAAUCAAAGGGCGGGCUUACACAUGGAGCAAUAUGCAGCAAGACCCGUUAGUCGAGCAAUUGGACUGGUUUCUCACGUCGCUUCAUUGGACAAAUGCUUACCCCAAAACUAUGGUCAAACCAUUGGGAAAACCAGUUUCCGACCACAUUCCUUGCAUGGUGAAUAUUGAAACCACCAUCCCACGCAGUAAGAUUUUCAGAUUUGAAUCAUUUUGGGUUCUUCACCCAGGGUUUAUGGAUGUGGUGCAAACUGCUUGGUCAAAACCGGUCCACGCAACUAAUGCCGCUACAUCCCUCAGCCGUAGAUUCAAGACCAUCAGCAGAAAAGACUUUAAAACACCAUAAAACUUCAUCUUUAUGUUUCAUAUAAGAUAGACCCAAGUCGUAACAAAGUAUUUCAAGCCACUGAUAGAUAACACUGGACAUGUCCAUACAUCAGAGUAGAUCAACACAAAAUGGGAUAUGCUCCUGACCCCCUUACUCGCAUAUGAGUUUCUGGUAGUUUAGCAAACUCACACGCAUCACAUUUCAGCUUGCUCUCGUCCAUACCACUCAUUAUAUCAUAAAAUACUAGAUAUAUUUUGUCAAAAGACGCGUCCCAUCCUACAGUGAUGGAUCAGUGCUCUAGUCUCCUUAUUCUCAGGAACUGCAGCUAGCAUGUGCAAUUCCUGCUUGUCCGGCAUAUUGCGGUCCAUGUACCACAGCCGCCUACAUCUUGUUCCAGUCACAAGACUCCUUCCCGUUAAUCUCUCCAGGAUCAAGAACACGAAACCUUGUCGAUAACUAUUCGGCAAUCUAUUUGGUCAACUGAAGCACUCGAGGACACUAAUUUCACAGGAAAAGCCGGCACAUGCAACACUAAGGAUAAUUCAAUACUAGGCAUGCAGUUGACUACCCCAAUACCUGUGAUGGGUUGGACUAUGCCAUCUGGUGUGAAUGUUUUUCUGAUGUGCGAGAGAGUGUGGAACAUAAGAUUUGAACUUAUUAAAUUCUCCAGCAACAUGUUGUGAUGCUCCAGACUCAAGCACCCAUUCAGAGUUUAUUUAAUGGGACGCAAUUGAUGCGUGUUUUACCUUCAUUUGUAUGAACAAAGUUGGCAUAACUGGUAGCAGUCUCCUGUCCUCCUACAGGCUGUUUCCCUUCAGUUGAAGCAACUACAUUUGCAUUGGGAGCAUUUCAAUGAGGAGCAUUCCAAGAACUACCACUUCCAUUCCCACCAUGACUCUCAUCCCAACCAGCUUGACUCCUACUGCUACCACUACACCCUCGACCUCUGACUUUUCUAGGCCAGUACAGAAAAGGCUGAUAUGCCCUGGUUGAUCACAAUUGUGAGUUGUGACACACCUCUGGCUGGUUAGUCACCCUGCAAGCAAAUUCAUUUCCAUCUUCUUGACUGCAGACAUACCUCUUCUUGGGACAUCGCAGCAAUGGCCUCAUCAAGCCGGAACAAGCGUCAACUGAUGUAGCAUUGCAAUAUACCUACUCUCUUUUUUUUGCGGGUGCAAUAUACCUACUCUCAAAAGAUUAAUCUAGGCCCUGGAGAAACUGCACCACACUCCUGUGCUCAACCCACCUCUUGGCAAUCUCCAUGGGCUCUGCAUGUGGAAUCUCAAGGGGAUCACACUGAUUCAGAUCUGCCCAACAAUGUUGCAACUCAGCCUGGACAGAACGAGCGGGCUUUUGGGCCCGCUCGUGGCCCAUUCAGGACCGGACCGUGCGGUCCAGGACCGGUAGGGAAAUAAGGUCGGUCCGGGCUAUGAUAUUCGGCCCGAAAAUAUGUCGGUCCGGUCCGGUCUUUAACCGAGCCGCUCGGUCGGACCGAGAAAUCGCAGUCUUCGCCGCGGUCGUUUCUCGUCUUCGUGGCCACCGACAGCCUACCACUUUGUCCCCGAGCUUCCCCUCUCCUUCCUUCCUCUUCUUCCCGUGAUGCGCAUCUUCUUGACGUCGGUCGCCAUCGUUGUCCUGCAUACACGUCGAUCUGGAGUUCUCGAACAUGGCCUCGACCCCAACCGUGGCCCCUAUUCCUGCGGGUAUUGCGGUUGCAUGAGCUGAAAUCGUGGCAUGACAGGAGCUGCAGAUCAAGACGUUUUUCUUAUAACUGAAAGGAACGAAAGAACAGCCAAGAACGAGUAUUGCGGCAGUGCCAUCGCAAGUUCACCCGUACGCAGCUAUGUUGCCGCUGCAUGAGCUGGAUUCGUGCCAAGCCACGAUCUCCCACAGCGGCUGAUCUAACUAACUUGAAACUAAGUCAAGAGGUGGACAUGCACAUGUGUUGCUUGAUGAGCGCGAAGACUGUCAGUUAAAUAGGUGCUGUCAAAUUUUCAGUAAAUUCAGUUUCAUCAGAUUCAGAAAAUUUAGUCCGUCAGUUUCAUCAAAGAUUCAGCUGUCAGUUUAUUUGCAUGUGACUAAGAAAACGCAGCUAACUAGGACCUAGUCUGCAGCUAAAUAAGACCUAAACUGCAGCUGGAAAAAGUUGUGGCAUCGAUCCACACGGUCCUCUAAAGCUUGACCGAGCCAGCUUCAUUUCGGCAUCCUUCCUCUUCUUCUCCGGCGACGAAGCACGGCAACGCCGACGAGCUCCGAUUCAGAAAAGCGGGCAAAUUUACAAGCAUUUAAAAGAAAAGAGACCGAAUUCGAACAAACAUAUAUCCAUUACAGAAAAUAUCAUACGUUCGAUUACAAGGGCUCGUCGGAGACGAUUACACCCUCCCCGAUUACACGGGCUAGCUCCUAACCUCAGCCACCUAAGCUCCUACCUCACCAUCUCCAAAAGUGGGCGCUCACCAGAGCCCCAGCGGUGCGGCCCCGACGUUGCGGCGACGCCGGUCAGUCGGAGUCGGAGUCGGAGGCGCCCCACCCCCUGUCGGCGCGGGAUGCCUCGAUGGCUUGGCGGAGGCGGAUCUCGUCAAGCUCCUCUUCCCUCUACCGGCACGCGGCGACCUGCUGGGCCUCUUCCUUGGUGCGCUCCAUCACCUCGGCCAUGACGUCCUCGAGCUCGUCGCCGUUGACGUAGCCCUCCGACAGAAAGCCCGGCGGCAGCAGCGCGGGUGCAAUGGCGGAGGAGCCCGCGGCAGAGGAGCGUGCCGCUUCCCCCAUCUGGCGGGGGCGGUCGUACUCCUCCACCUCGCGUCGGGCGAAGGCACGCGGUGGCGCGAGCCCCCAGUUGGUGUACCUUCGGGCGCCGCGCUUCCGAGCAGCGCCGGAAGCAACCCGCGCCGCCCAAUCGCGCUCAGACUCCGGGGUUUCAGGCGCCGGCCGCUUCGGCCUCCGGUUUCCGCCGCCGGAAUGGCCACCGUGCGAGCUGGAAGAUCCUGGCCUCCCCAUGAUCCGUGCGGCGGCGAGGUUGGAAUGCGUGGUUUUGGUGGGGUUCGCCGGCGGUGAGGGGCGAGAGGAGCUAGAGCGGCGCAGAUCUGGAAAAAGCUAGGGCACGACACCUCUCACCAUAGAAAUAGCUCCGAUGGGACACUGAUGUGACGCCCGGUGACUUCCGUGGCCCACGGGUCAGUUUAACCGCUCGGUCAGAUUGACCGGUCAGCCCGAGCGCCCUGCUCUGGUUCCUUCCACCGAGGCGCUGCAGGUCCGCUCCAGAUCGGCUGCUGCCCGUCCCGAUCUAGUCCCGCGAGGCUCCAGGCCAAGGCGCUGCCCGUCCCGAUCCAGUCCCGCGAGGCUCUGGGCCGAGGCGCUGCCCGUCCUGAUCCAGUCCCACGAGGCUCCCAGCCGAGGCGCUGCCCGUCCCGAUCCAGUUCCGCGAGGCUCCAGGCCGAGGCGCUGCCCGUCCCGCUCCAGUGAUCCCGCGAGGCUCCAGGCUACAGAUCGAGCCCUCCCCUGUUACAGAUCACGCCCUCCCUCCUGCUACAGAUCGAUCCAGCCCGUCCUCAACGCUUUUCCUGCUGCUGCUGCUUCCCGCGCCCCUGCUCGAGGACGCCAGCUCGACUCCCUCCGGUCCCGCUCGAGGCAGGAGGCAGCUCUGCUCCUGAUCGUCAGAUCCUGCCGGCCCUCUCUGAUCUGUAGCUGUCGAGAGAUCUAAAAAAAAGUCUACUGCAUCGGGCUAUGUUGCUGUCCCUCGUUGUUCGGUGAUCUUCGAUGGUAGUAACUACACUGAGUUCAUUGGCUUUAUGCGCAUUCACAUGCGUGCCAUCCGUCUCUGGGGUGUUCUUUCUCGCGAGGUCUGCUGUCCGUCACGUCCGGUUCCUCCUGUGGCUCCCACUCCGCCGAUCCCUCCGGCUUUUCCUGCGGAUGCUCCUCAGACUACGAAGGAUGCAGCUAAGGUUGCUGAUGAGGCUGCUAUCCGUGCUUAUAUGCGAAGGUCUUGGCUUACGAGGAGGCUCUUUAGGUGUAUCACGGUGCUCUGUCCGCAUACACCCAGUGGCUUGAUGAUGAUGCUCGUGCUGCAGCUGUUCUCACUGCUAGUGUUCUGCCUCAGUUUGCCUCUGAGUUUUUGGGCCUUCCUACUGCCUUUGAGAUGUGGACUCGCCUUCGUCAGCGCUAUGCGCCCUCUGGUGAUGCCUUAUACCUCUCCGUGGUUCGUCAGGAGCAUGCUCUUCAGCAGGGUGACUCUACUGUUGAUGACUUCUAUGCACAGAGUUCUGCUAUCUGGCGCCAGCUCGAUUCUCUCCGCACUGCUGGUUGUCGUACUUGCCCCUGUUGCCACGCUUUCCAGACCAACUUGGAGUUUCAUCGCGUCUACGAGUUCCUGUCUCGGCUCCAUAAGGAGUUUGAGCCCCGGCGUGCUCAGUUGUUUGCUCGUGGCUGUAUUUCUCGCAUGGAGGCGCUUUCUGAGAUUCGUGCUGAGGAGACUCGCUUACGUGGUGCUGGUUUGCUGGAGGUUCCCUCGGUGCUCGCUGCUCGGGCUACUUCUACACCCCCUGCUACACCGACCCCUUCUCACUCGAGUGCUCCGCCGCUCUUGCCCACUCCUUCUGGAGGCUCAGGUCGCCCCCGUCCACAUUGUGGCUACUGCAACAAUGAUGGUCAUAUUGAGUCCCACUGCUACAUGAAGAAGAAACACUUGCGCCAGGCGCAAUCAUCAUCUACAGAGACUUCGUCAUCUACCUCGACAACUUCAGCCAUUGCUUUGAUUGAGCAGGAUAUUCUACGACUUAAGCGUCUGCUCGCUGCUUCAGGUUCUUCCUCGACGGGUACUGCUCGUAUGUGACUCAGGCUUCCCGCACUGAGCAACCACCUUCUACACAGUCAGGACCGUCUCACGCACAUUCUAGUUGGAGUUGGCCUUGGCCGCCAUGAUAUUAUUCUUUUUCUCUUCUGCUGCCAUCAUCCCUAAUCUAGUGUGUGUUUUCUAGUCUUCCUUGUUUUCCGCUGCGUCCACCAAAUCCGUUGAUAUUUUGUGUUUUCUCAUGCCAUGCGAGUCCACCAUACCUUAGUCCGUCGGCCUUUUCUUUGGUCCUGAUCCUUUCUAUGCAACUUUUGUGGCCUAUUUGCCCUUUUUGUUUUCUAUAGGAUUUUCUGGACUUCUUUUGCAUUGUCGAUCUACGUCCAUCGUGCCUUAUCCGCCAAGCUUCUUUCGCCGACGGUUGUUGUGGACUAUGAUUUUUUGCACAAUGCUUUAUUCUCUUGAUGUGUCAUCUUCUUUUGACAACCCAUCUUCUCUUGAUACUUAUCUUGUAUCUUCAAGUGAUGCGGUGUCUACCUUUGAUGUGCCAUCUCUUCGUUAUCUCCUUCGGCGACUCGACAAGUUUUGAAGACUCUUCAUGCUUCGACGACACUCUCAAGACGCGGAUUUGGAUUAUCAUUGUUUUUUUUAGUAUUACACUUCUUCAAAUGCAAUGCUAUUGCAUACGCUUUGCAUUUGAGGGGGGUGUUAGAAAGUAUUAGUAUUAGUCUAGGAGUCCUUAUUAGUCUAUUAGUAUUAGUCUAGGAGUCCUUAUUAGUCUAUCUUUACUUUCCUUGCAUCUCAAGUCUUGUGUAAUAUAUAUAUGCCCCUUGGGCCUUCAAUAAACAUAAGUUGCUUUCCUAACAAAAAUUAUGUCUCCGUCACUUACGAUAACCAGAGGUAAACCAUGUAACUUGACAAUGUUGUUGAGGAAAACCUUGGCUACUGAGGCAACGGUGAAUGGGUGUUUUAAUGGUAAGAAGUGACUCACUUUAGUGAAACGGUCAACCACCACCAGAAUGGCUGAGUAUCCAUCAGACUUGGGCAAGCCUUCAAUGAAAUCCAUGCUCAUCUCCUGCCAAGGACUGUCAGGUAUGGGCAGUGGUUGAAACAUACCUGGUUUUUGUGCAUAGUUCAUGUUUAGCCUGUUGGCAGAUACCACACUGUUUGAAAAACAAAUCCACUACUGACUUCAAACCUUGCCAACUGAACAAUUGCUUAACUGUGUGAUAGGUGGAUAAAAUGCCUGGGUGUCCACCAAUGGAACUGUCAUGAAAAGAUUGAAUGAGCUUGGUUUGAAGUCCACUAUUUGCUCCUACCCAUAUCUUGUCCUCAUGUUUGAUGAGUCCCUCCUAGAGUUGGAACCCAGGGCAAGCAUUGGCAUCCAAGGCCAUUUUCUGCAACAUGUUCUGAGCCAAAGGAUCCACUGUGUAGGAGUUCAAAAUCUCUUGAAGCCAGAGUGGUCUACUUGUUGAUAUGGACUGAGAAACAAAAAGGUGAGCCACCCUAGAUAAAUCAUGUGCUACUGUAUUCUCCACACCUUUCUUGUACUAAAUAGUAAAUUGCAGUCCCACUAGUUUUGUCAUGGCUUUUCUCUGAAGAUCUGAAGUUAAAUGUUGAUCCCCUAGAUGACACAAACUCUGAUGAUCUGUUUUGAUGAUAAAAGGUGCUCUGGAUAAAUAAGAUCUCCAUUUCUCCACUGCCAUCAUAAUAGCCAAAAACUCCUUUUCAUAGAUGGAAGUUUUUUGACUAGCCGCUCCUAAUGCUUUGCUGUAGUGAGCAAUAGGGUGUCCUUCCUGAGACAACAUAGCUCCUACUCCAGGCAUGAGUUUCCACUACAAAAGUUUUCUCAAAAUUUGGUAGAGCUAGCACAGAAGUGUUGGCCAUAGCUUGUUUAAGGCUGUGAAAAGCUUGUUGGGCAGGUUCAGACCAUACAAAGGCUUGUUUAUUGAGCAGAGGAGUCAGAGGUUUAGCUAGUAGCCCAUAGUUUUAAACAAACUUCCUGUAAUAUCCAGUGACCCUAGGAAACCCCUCAACUCAGUAAUUGUUGUAGGAACAUGCCAGUUCAACAUAGCUUCAGUCUUAGCAGGGUUAGUUGCCACCCCUUUGUUAGAAAUAAUGUGGCCCAGAUAAUCCAUGGAUUGCUGGGCAAAAGCACACUUGCUUUCCUUGACAAAUAACCGAUGCUCCUUUAGGAUGUCAAACACAGACUGCAGAUGAUCAAGGUGUUCCCAAAAGUUUGACUCAAAACCAGUAUGUCAUCCAUGAAAACCAAAACAUAUUUUUCUCUUAGGGCCUGCAAAUGCAAAAUUCAUGACACAAUGAAAUGUUCCUGGAGCUGUAGCCAAACCAAAAGAAACCACUCUAAACUGAAAUUGUCCAUGAUGUGUUUUAAAAGCAGCCUUGAACUCAUCCUCUUCCUUCAUUCUAAUUUGAUGGUACCCAGCUCUAAGGUCCAGCUUGGAAAACCACUUAGUGCCCCCUAAUUCAUCCAGCAAUUCAUCAACUACUGGUAGAGGAAAUUUAUUCUUGAUGGUUAAGGCAUUUAGCCUUCUGUAGUCCACAUAGAACCUCCAUGUACCAUCUUUUUUCUUGACCAAGAGAACAGGAGAUGCAAAGGGACUUAUGUUGGGUGUGAUCAAACCAGACUUCAACAUCUUUGUCACUUGUCUUUCAAUUUCAUCCUUUUGUAGUGGAGAAUAUCUAUAGGGCCUGCAGUUCACAGGUACAGCAUCAGGGACCAGAUGGAUAGAGUGAUCCAAAGCUCUAUGAGGAGGUAGUGUUUUAGGCUCUUGAAACACUGUUUGAUUCUUGGCUAACAACUAUUGAACUGCAGGAGGUACUUCCACAGAUGGUGUCAUCACAAUGAGAUUCAAAAUAGCUGUAGCCCAUACAUCAUUGCCCUUCUCCCAUUUAAUGAGUUGUUCAGCAGAUAUCUCUUUGAGUUGGUCUUGUUGCACUCGUAUAACUCCCUGCAGUCUUAUCUCUUGACCUUCAUGUUGAAAUUGUAUCCAUCUUUCAGCCCGGUGACAUUUCAUCAUUCCCCACUGUUCCAACAAGUCCAUCCCACAGAAUAAUGUCAUGUCCACCCAAAGGAAACACUUUCAUGGAAUUGCUGAAACUAUGCCCAUGUAUCCACCAGGUCAACUGAGGCACUAUGUCAGUAUAUAUAGGACACCGACUCCCCAUUUGUCACUCUAACCUGGAGAGGCAUUGGCAGUUUUUUCAGUUUUUACCGCUACCCUAUUUAGCAAGGCUUGAUCCACAAAAGUGUGUGUGCUCCCAAAUCUACCACUAUGAGAACCACCUGAUUUCCUACCAAUGCUCUCAAGUGAAUUAUUUUAGGAUGAGCUGCCCCUGACAAUGCAGUAGUAGAGAUAGUUGCACAUUCCUCAGAAUUGUCUAUGACUAGAGCAUCCAGCACUGCAUCAGAAAUGAUCUCAUGAGGAUCCACCAAGUCUGCAGCCUUUAGUUGUCCCCCAGGUACAGCAGCCUGAUUACAAGUGUGGCCUGGUAUGAAUUUCUCCCCACACUUGUAGCAUAAACCAUUGGCACGUCUGUACUCUUUCAACUGUUUAGCUUUCCAUAGUUCUCCUAUAGGCAAGGUACCCUUGUUCUCAAACCUACUCAAAGUAGCUUUUCCAUAAUAAGUCUUUAGUUGUUUCUGUUUCAGCAUCAACCCUUCCUGUACAGAGGCAUACAUUGCCGCCAGUUGUACUGUAGUAGGCAUCUAAAGCUCCACCACAUUCCUCAACUCUUCUUUUAAAGCCAUGGUAAAUCUGGUUACCAGAAAUGUAUCACUAAAAACUGGUUCAUAUAACUUCACAUGAUAGACUAGCAGCAGUAAUUGUUGUUUGUACAUUUCUACACUGUCCACCUCUUUCAGUGAAAGUAACUCUUUCAUCUUCUGCCUGUACACAUUCACAUCAAAUUCCCGUAUAACUGCUGCAGAGAACCUUUUCCAAGAGUGAACUUCACCAGACUGUUUAACUAAUUGGUACCAGUGAGCAGCAUUAUCAGACAAAUAUAGAGAUGCAGAAGUAACUUCGAAAUUGUCAGGAAUGUUAUACAACUGGAAAAAUGCCUCACACUUGUCCAACCAAAUCCUGACCUCAGUACCAUCAAACUUGGAAAAUCCAUUUUAGGCAUCCAGCCCCGCUUGGUUCCUGAUUCCUCAUUCCUCUACUGUAGACUGCAUUCUGUGUUCAGGAUUCGGCCCACGCACCUGUACUAGGGGAUAUCGAAUCGGAGGUGGCCUUUGCGUGAGCAGCACUGGUGUCGUUCCCAAUAUCCCAUCUGAAACCUCGGAUGCGGUUGGUGAUGAACUCUCCCUGUUGCCUGGUCCUGCGGCUGCUUCCCACAAUGCGCGGAGAACGUCUGUCCCUGUUGUGCCCUACCGAUAGCAUCAUAGGAGAGGUCAACCUUCAUGUGUACCUGAUCCAGACGGGCCGCUUGCUUGGUCAGCUUGACGUCGAGAGCCUCCAGCUGAGCGCAAAUUCCGUCAACCACAUCUAGUUUGCUCUGCGCCGUGCGGAUGUCGGCUGCAUUUGCUUGGCUAGGCAACGCGUCUGCGGGUUCGGCUUGAACGUCGUCGUCGGCGGCGUGCUUGUUCCCCAAAUCAACCCACCUCAGGUCCGGAUUUACACGGAUCGAACCGGUGAUCCAUCACCUUCGCGUCGGAUUUGCUGGGUACGAUUCGGGAAAAAAAACGUGGCGCCGAGGACCGAAGGCUCUUAUACCACAUUGUCACGACCGACGACGAGCGAACCUACCGACGGCGAGCUUGAGCUUGCAAAACGAAGCUGCGGCUGAAUUUGAAUCAGAGGAGGGAAGAGAGACCGGGACAGGAUAAGAGCGAAUGAGAGAGAGAGACAAACAGGGAGAAGCAAAGAAUAUUCUCUUAAUUGAUCGAUGCCGACCAUGGCGCGGGUCGCCCGCUUAUAAGUGCGGUUCCCUCACUAUUACAAGGCCUGCGGCCCACUCCUGACUACUGGCGCGAUGGCCCAACAACAUGCUUUGAAACACCCCCCACUCGUGACUACUGGCGCGAUGGCCCAACAACAUGCUUUGAAACACCUCGCUCCCGCCAGCCCUUGGUCACUAGCCUUGGCCCAUCGCGUGUAGCUUUGGUAAGCAUAGGCUCAUCUUCAGUGCCUUGGUGCUUACAUAUUACUCCGUAGUACUUAAUCAUCUGAACCGCUGGAAGGCCAGAGGUGCUCCUUGGCUUCUUUUUUCGUCGAUUCGGGGUAGCACUUGUUCCGACCAAAUAGAAAUUUCUUUAUCCUGUCGAUUACAAUAGUUGUUAUUUACCCUUGAUUUUGGCAUGCAAGUUUGAGUACGAUGGAGUGGUUUUUACGUUUUAGUAGUAUCAUUUAUUUGUUUGGCAUGGAAGUUCGGGUUAGGCGGAGUUUGAGAUUCCGUUUGGUAUUGACAGGGCUGUUUCCAAGAAUUUAGAGCCCUGGCGGAAGAAUGCAAAAAUGUCAACCUAUUUUUUAAGCACAUAAAGCACCAAUCAAUCUGAAUGCAAUCUAUCAAUCUAUCUGAAUGCCGUUUAUUAUUUAUCAAUCUCUCCCUAAUAAUAAAGCACUACACUCCCUAAUAAUAAAGCACGUAGUGUUUCUGUCGUCCGUCAUGGCAAUUUUGCAAAAAAACCUCCGUUUUCGAGGAUUCAACCUGCAGUCCUUUUGUAAGUCAAGUCGAACUGUUAUUUUACGUUUUGAACAAAACCCCCUAUAUUUUAUCCGAACUAACCCGCAGUCCCUCUUUUAAGUCACUAUGAACUGUUUUUUUUUCAGUUUUACAUAAAACCCCCUUUCGUACGAUCAAAUUCUAAUCAAGGUAGCCAGUUGACCUGUAGCAUACACCUAAGUUAAAAAAAACAUAUAAAAAAUGUUUUGCAAGGAAUCCUCGCAUGGGCCGGCCCUAGCAUAGGCACCAACUAUACUACGCUCUGUUCGGUGGAAAAUAAACAGCACGCCCAUUUGGGCCAGCCCAUGGGUGGGGCCUGUUUUUUUAGUUUUUCAAUUAUUAUUUAUCUGUUCUUUUUCAUUUUUUCUAUUUCAACUAAAUCAAUAAAAACUUCAGAAAUUCAAAAAAUUAUAUUUACAUAAAUGUUUGAUAAAACAUAAAAUGUUUGCGAAUUCAAAAAUUGUUCGGGAUUUUUGUAAAAAUGUUUGCAUAUUAAAAAAAUCAUAAUUUUGGAGAAAACAUUCGUGAAUCAAAAAAAGUCUAUCAUUUUGAGCAAUUUCUUUAAUGCAAUUAAAAAAAUGUUUGAUAAUUCAAAAUAUGAAUUAUUCGCCAAUUCACAAGCAAAUACUUGAAAAUAGUUCGUAAUAUAAAAUAUUGUUUGGAAUUUUAAAAAAAUGUUUAUAAAUAGUAAAAAAUGUUUUUGAUUUUAAAAAUGUUCCCAAAUUUGUAAAAAUGUUCACGAAUGAUCAAAUGUAUGCAGUUCAACAGUAAUGCUUCUGAGUCUUUCAGAUUAUAUACCUGAGUGGAUUUUGAAGAAUUAAUUGUCAUGGUGGAUCGGAAUAUUAUAGAAUGUUUUAAAAAAUGUUUCUUGAAAUUCAGAAUAAUUCUUUGAGUUACCAAGUUUUUUGACAACCAUGAUAUAUUUUUUUAAAAUAUGAACAUUGUUUCAACUUGUGAAUUGUGAAUAAAAUUAAAAGAAUAAAUAUUUUCUUGCAUUUAUGGACAAAUUUUCGAAAUCAUGCGAUGAGAUAUGAACAUAAUGUGGUCAUCGCCAUUGAAGAUGGUGGUUUUUUUUCUCCCGUUGCAACGCACGGGCCCUUUUGCUAGUCUAUACAAACACAAUACAUCCAUCUAUACGGUACGCAUCCGCAUAUCAUAGAACGCAUUUUAUGAAUUAUACCAGUGAACGCAUUUUAUGCUUGCCACUCAACUGAAUCCUCUAUUAGUAUGCUUGUAGCUUUAUUACAACAGUUUUGGAUCGCUGGAACCCUGGAGGUGCUUCUUGGCUUCUUGUUUUGGUGGAUUCGGGGUAGCACUUGUUCCGACCAAAUAGGAACUUCUUUGUCCUGUCGACUACCGUAGCUGUUAUUUACCCUUGAUUUAGGCAUGCAAAUUUGAGUACCAUGGAGUGGUUUUUAGUAGUAUCAUUUAUUUGUUUGGCAUGGAAGUUCAGGUUAGACGGAGUUUGAGACUCCGUUUGGUAUUGACAGGGCAGUGUCCAGGAAUUUAGAGCCCCGGCGGAAGAAUGCAAAAAUGUCAACCUAUUUUUAAACACGGCAUAAAGCACCAAUCUAUCUGAAUGCAAUCUACAGUAUCAAUCUGAAUGCCGUUUAUUAUUUAUCAAUCUAUCCAAACACAAUCCAUCCAUCUAUACGGGACGCAUCCGCAUAUCAUCGUGGAACGCAUUUUAUGAAUUAUUAUACCAGUGUGAUAUUAUGUACUUACACUGCACCGAAAUCCAAAGAUCAAAAGAGCGUGUUGUAGAUGCCACUCGAAAAUUCAGAAGACGGAAAAGUACUCGAGCAGACCUGGGUGGAGAUCGGGGUCUUGGCCUCUUGGAGAACCAGCCAACUGCAAGUAGGCCUACGGCCUGCACAAGGCCAGCAUGCAGCAUCCAUGGCGACUGGCCAGGAGAAAGGAGGAGGACUGGCCGGAGGAGGACGAGGGCCGGCGCCCGGCGGCGAUGGCUAGGGCCGAUCGAGGACGAGCAGGCGAUUUGGGCGGCGUGCGUGGGGUGGGGAUCGGGGCAUCGGGCGAUGUGUGUGUGUUUGGACGACACAUAAGGCGUGGCUGGGAUCGGCCGAUCGAGGCACGUCAGCUUGGGCCGCGCCACGCGUGUCGGCCCCCCGGACGCACGAG
rnacentral:lncRNA from 1 species